GGGCUAGUCAGAUUUUGUGGAGACUGAAUUGAAAGAGGACAAAUUCUUCAAAGGUUAGUGCUACUUCUCAAUGACCAGUUGUACUCACUGACAAAUGCUAUAUCACCUGAGGUCUUUUACAUGAUUUCUUAGUUUACUGAUUUAAACCAUGUCUGAAAUAUAUUUAUUUUCUAAGAAAGUUUGCUGUUUAGAUGUGGGACUGUCAUGAUCCCAGGAUGGGGUCACCACGUGCAUUUACAGCCACAAACAUUGCCUUUAGUUUCCCUUCACUAAACCAUGUUUAUUCUGAGACAGCGAAAAAGCCUUUCCUCUUCACAAAGGCUGUUUAACAGGACUGAUUUGCAAGAUUAUUUUUUUAGCUGAGAACAAUUAAGAACUCUAACAGCUUAACCGACUGUGAUAAUUAACAGUUACAGAGCCUAUCUUUGUGGAGAAUAUAGCACGCUGUCCUAUUUUAGUCCUAGCAUAAUAAAGAGUGAGGAAAAAAAUAAAUACCCAUUGAUAUCCAGAGCAGUUCCCUAGGAUGGUGAGCCUGGUGGAGAGCCCACGCUGGGUGUGAGCUGCCACAGCAGCCGUCCCUGCCUGUGCAAGGCAGAAGGUUAGUCACUUUGACAAACACGGGCAAUAAAUUUAACUAGUCAUCGUGACGCAAGGAGAAACUUUUGGCAGCCAAUGUGGAAAAGCGUGCUACUCCCCACUCACAGGAAGCGGUAGUUUUAUGUAAAUAACUUCUGGGUCAACCUUCUGGGCUCCAGCCGGUGCCCCGGCCGUUUGCUUGCAGCAGCCCAGGAUGCUGGGGAGGCUCUUGGGCAGCAGCCCCAGGCUGUGGUGGUGGGGGGCUCGCCCGAGCACCUGGGGCCCCCACACUGCUCCGCUGUUCCUGCGCCCUGCCAGGGCCGUCGGUGACAAAGCCAAGGGUGUGCGGGAUGCGGUGCAGCAGACAGCUAAUCCAGGUUACAAAGCAUUCAAGAAUGAAAGAAGGCCUACAAAUUUUGAUAAAAAGGUCUUAGUAUGGGCAGGACGCUUUAAAAAGGAGGAGGACAUUCCCAAGUACAUAACAGACCUAAUGCCUCCAGACUUGUGGCAUACUGGGGGCUCCUCCACUUGGCCUUCCCCUUGCUAAGUAAAGAAAUUCACAGCCGGAUAGGAUUUCAUGAAUGACUCAGGUUGUCACAUCGUAGUCUCUUGCAAGCGUGAAUAGUUAGAUAAAUACUGUGAGU
rnacentral:lncRNA from 1 species